rnacentral:tRNA from 1 species
UGGAGUGUGGCUCAGUGGUAAAGCAUUUGCCUAGUAUGCAUGCGGCCCUGGGUUUAAUCUCCAGCACUACAC